GUCCAAUCACCCAUACAAUUUGUUACACUGCGAAAGAUUGGUUCUGCAUAAUGUGAUUUCAAGGAUAUGAAAAGCACACAUUUCCAAACUUUACUUCUGAUCAGUGUUGGGGAAGGGAGGGAAGUACCUGCAUAAUGUGUACAAAGAUCUUUAUGGCCUGAAAACAGUUUAAAGUGCAUUGUAGUUUUAUAGUCCUGUUUACUGGUUACAAUGUAGACACUGCAUACUGUAGUGUUUGCUGGGGAAGGGGCAUUGGUAGCAGGAGGACAUUGGAGGGUAGUAAGCAAGCUAGUAAACCACCUAUUCUAAAAAGAAACAAUACCAACGCUUAUAGCCUCUUCUGUCUGCUGCCCGCACCCUUACUGCCAACUCGCGCUUGCAGGACUUCUUGCUGGGCGGCUCCUUUCCUCAUUAGACUCUCCUCUAGUCUUUAAUCAUUUGAGAAGUUUUUCAAAACCCAUCUCUUCCGAAUAGCCCAUGGCCUCCCAUAGUAACUUAUAUUUCAUUAACCGGUGUCUGGCUCUUUUAAAGUGAAAUACUCCUAUAGAUUAUUGUAAUUUUACUGAAAUUCCACGCGUCAAGAGAUUUAGAGACAAAUUAGGUGUUACUUUUCUCUGUAUUUGUCCUCCGCUUGACGCAAGGCAAAGUCUAAGAGUCAACCCCCACAGCUGUAAGGAGUAGGCUGGGUCUAUGGAGGGGAUCCACCAUAGACCUUAAUACUGUACAGCACUGAAGGAGGAAGCCAAAAAAAAAAAUAGUUUGCAGCACCAGAUUCAGGUAAGUUAACUCACAUUUACCGUCGGAUGACUGAGAAUUCUGCAAUGACAAUGCCGCUUUAAAGGGCCACACUUCACGCUCACCUUUCAGUUUAAAGCCUGUCACUUGGUUGCCAUCCCCUGCUCUACUCCUCGUAUUGUGUUUUUAUAUUCCACCUCCUCUACAUUGUAAGCUCUUUCUAGCAGGGUACUCCGAGUCCUCAACCUAUUCUCAUUAUUUGUUAAAUGUCCCUCUUUAUAAUAUUGUAAAUAUCUGCAGAGUAUGUUGGGGCUAAAUAAAUGAUGAUAAUAAUAAUAAUAAUAAUAAUAAUAAAUAUUAUUAAACAAGGCUGGUUCGUCCCAUAUAUCAUAACAGUAACUAAUUAAAAUGGCAGUCCAACAAUAA